UACAGGGGGUGCAAACGUUGCUCGGAAUCAUUGGGCGUAAAGCGCACGUAGGCGGUUCGUUAUGUCGGAUGUGAAAGCCCUUGGCUUAACCGAGGAAGUGCAUCCGAAACUGGCGAGCUAGAGUACUAAAGAGGAUCGCGGAAUUCCCGGUGUAGAGGUGAAAUUCGUAGAUAUUGGGAAGAACACCGGUGGCGAAGGCGGCGACCUGGUCCUUUUACUGACGCUGAGGCGCGAAAGCGUGGGGAGCAAACAGG
rnacentral:rRNA from 1 species